CCCAAGUGGAAACUGACGGAAGCGCUCUAUCGCUGUUUUGAAUUUUAUUCAUCGUGUAGUCGCUGAUCCGAAGUCUGAUCUCGUUUCAGAUGGUAAAGGACGUUCCCUCUUCUGUAAUGCCAUGACAAGUCAACUGUGGCUAUUAGCGAUGGUUCAAGCUUUUUUUUUCAAAAAUGUAAGUUAACCGUCAAUAAAAACAAAAUUUGACACAAAAAAUCUGCGGAUGCUGGAAUCUAAGUUAGACAAUAGGAGGCUGGAAGAACACAGCAGGCCAGGCAGCAUCUGGAGGAAAGGAGCAAUCAACGUUUCGGGUAUUCCCCUUCUUCAGGACUGAAAAUGAUACCUUCCCGGGAUUUUUAUUUUAAUAUUGAUGUUUUAAUCAUUAUCUUUGAUAUUUCGAAGGCACCCUAUGUCCGAUACUCUGCUGAGUGCACCAACGGACACUUGUGAACUUCCUCUGCAAGGGAACCUGGCAAACCCUGGUCUGUGGUAGUAAACCAGGUAGAGUGCUCCUCCAGGACUGCGCCCCUGACUCCACAUUCCUUGAUCACCAUCCAUACCAGACAGCCUCACCCCCUAGAUGGCCUGUGCUGCCUCUUGGCAAUGACCUAUACAGAAAAUCCAGAUACAACCUUGGUAAAGCCAUCAGAGGCACCAAGAGGAGUUUUAUUUUACCACAGAAAUCGACUGACCUCGAUGGGGUCCCAGGCUAUGUACUCAGAUCCCCGUACGAACCAGUAGCCGGGAACAUUCACAGACAUCUUUAACCUCUCCUUACUACGAUCUGAAGUUCCCACUUGCCUCAAGAAGACCACCAUUUACCUGGUGCCAAAGAAAAAUUAUGCAGCGUGCCUCAAUGAUUGCCUCCCGGUGGCUGUGACCUCCAUAAUUAUGAAAUGCUUCGCGAGGUUAGUCAUGGCUCAUGUCAAUUCCAGCCUACAUAACUGCCUUGAUUCUAUGCAAUUUGCUAACAGAGAGUGCUGCUGAGAAAGAUUCAGGGAGGAGUCAUCUCAGUCAGUGCUCAGGAGUGAAUAAAAGGAGGGCAAGUUAUAGCAGAGCAGCCAUUUUGAGAAAGGUAGCUUUGUAGUUGAAAUGCUGGAAGUUUAGAUGUAGGCUUAAGUGAAUACUGGGCUUCGGUGAGGAGAGUGAGCAAGGUGAGGCAGUCGGUGGAGGAGCGAACAACUGCAGCUGCUGAAGACACAAGGGUAAAGGAGAAGUAGAAGAAAGUUUAACUGUGAAGUCACAGGCAGCAGGUGAUGAGGCCGUGAAUUUCGAAGACAUUGGCCAUUGGGAUGAAAAAAUGGCAAGAACUAACCCUUUAAAAGGAGUGUACUUCCAGGUCGAAAAGAUCCUCCAGAUGACUUUCUCCACCAAAAUUCAGUCUAUAAUGUUGGAUUAAGCAAAAUGAAUAUAGAUGUUGACUUAAUCUGAUUUUCAUUUUCUUUGACUCUAACUAUAUGGAAAUGUUUAAAAUAGACUUCCAUUUCAAAUUAGCAGCCAAAGUCAAGAUCCAUAACUCCAUGACUUCCUCAAAAAGUGUUGCUCUGUAAGGUUGUAUAUAACCUCUUGUCAAUGUAUAUAAAAAUUACCAUUCCUCGUUGCAAGUUUUUGAAUCAACAUUCAUGGCAAAACAUGGGUAGGUUACUGCAUGAUGUCCAGGUGGAUGCACCGGAUGAAAACUUACUGUGCUACAUGCUGCACAACAUAAAGUGUGACUAAAUUUUCUGAACUCCAAAGUAUGCCAAAUGCCAAAAACAUUGAAGAUUUGCAGCUAGCUGUGGAUGUCUUUGGUUAUAAAUUUAAUGAUUCUUGCAAUGCUGCUCAAAAAGCCAAAGAAUUUUUGACAACUUAGAAAUUUGGAAUUGGCCAGAAGCAUGGUUUGAUCAGCAUUAUAGACAAACUGCGUGAAGUUCUAGCAGAUUAUUGAUAUUAUGCCAAUCUCCAUGUUAAAUUUAAGCUUACUCACUGAUAUAUUAUGUUGUCAAUAAAAGAAAAGCAGUGUUAAUAACAUUAAUACAAUCUGCAAACGCACAGAUCUUGGUAAGAGUACCUUAUGACUAGUGGAAGGAGUUCCAGUUCAAGGGGAAAACCGACAGGCCACCCACUAGUGCUAUCUUUCCAUAGCGGGCAACACUCCAGGUCAGACCCCUGUGGGUACUGCCUCCCACCUAACCUCCACCUCUCCAUUAAGACCACCAUUCCCUUGUCCCCAUCUCUGCUGGGCCUCACCUUCACUCACAGCCAUGUGAGCCAUGAGAAAAUAUCUUCCUCACACUUAACUGUUCCUGGUCUCUUGGACUUCAAAUGCGAGUCCUGGCCACUGCUGACACAGGGUUUACUCUUAUUGCAGAGCUGUUGGCCAAUGACAUUGGCCAGCAAUUGUAGUCAGACUUCCUCCGAGCAAGGGCAAAAGUCCUAUCUUCUGCCAAUAAACAUGGUGUUAAACAACUGUGGACUGCUGUGAUCAGUGGGGAUGCAUUCCCCAUCCAACCUCAGGUGGACAGGCUGGAAACCCCUCUCUUAGAAAGCCUGUUCACAGUGUAUUUGCAAUAUUUUCUGCUCUUAUUUUAGAUUUCCAGCAUUAGUAUUAUUUUGGUUUUGUAUGGCAGGAAGACAUGCUGGAUCUAGCUCUGGGGAAUGAGGGGUGUUGAUUGUAGCAUGUUUUUGCAGAGGUAAACUUAGAAAACAGUGGUCAUAAUAUCCUUAGGUUUAGAAUAGUAAUGGAAAAAUAUGGAACGUGGAACUACUCAAAUGGAUGAGGAGUGACUCGAAUGAGUUGUAAAGAGGUCUGGCUGUGCUAGAUCAAGAUCAAGAUCAAGGAUUAGCUGGUUAAAAAAAGAAAGGUACAGUUGGAGGCUUUCAAAGAGAAGAUAAUUUGUCUUCAGACAUCUCAGAUUUUCAGAGGGAAUAUGUGUGCAUCUAAAGUUAGCAUUCUCUCUUUUACCAAAGCAAGAAAGGCAGCUUAUAAUAAAUAUUGCAGGGGAGAAGCAAACUGAAUAGUUCAAAUAAAAAAAAGGAGCUGCAAAAGAAAUAAGGGCAAGUGAGUUUACAUAUGGAUAGAACAGAAUAGAGCACCCUGUAUUGUCACGUGCAGGCCAGUACAAAGUACAGGAGGACAGUGAAAGGUUUUUUUUAUACAAUGGCUGCUUCAAAAGUGCCAUCGUAGGUACAAGGACCUAGGUACAAAAAUUUUGUAUACAAAAGGAGGAAUAAAAAGGAAAAGUAGUAGCAUUAGUGUCUAAAAAAUAAGUUAGAAGUAAAGGUAGUUAUUAGCAUUGUUAUAGGAGUGACAUUACAGUCCGAUAAAGAAUUUCAGAUAGACAUUACAUUGCAGCAGCUUAGCAAACAUGUGGUCUGACCACCCACGCCAGGCCCCCAGUCCAAUAACAGUCCCAUUCGGCUCCAAGUCUCCAGUCCACUCCACCAGACACUCAGCUGCACCAAGAUAAGUUGUGCAGUUCCAGGACUCUCGUUUUCCCUCACGCUGCUCUGGGGACUCCUUCCAUGAACACUGCUUCAGGACUGCUAAAAUAAGAGAGGAAAAAAUGAAAAGAAAGAAAAAAGAGCAGGUGGAGCAUCCUGCUCUGCCGCCAUCUUGCCAGGACGCACAAUAACACAAAAAUAAUAAAAGGGGUAACUCAGAAUUGAGGAAGAGUCAUCAGACCUGAAACGUUAACUGUUUUUUCCCUUCACAGAUGCUGCCAGACCUGCUGAGCUUUUCCAGCAACUUUUGUUUUUGUUCCUGAUUUACAUCAUCUGCAGUUCUUUCGGUUUUUAUUUAGUACAAUAAAAAAGAACUUGGAGUAUGGUUGAGUACUAAAUGGGUAAAUCCUAUUUGUCAAAGAUGAUGAUACUGCCAGUGUCACAGAAUAGAAAACAGAACAGUACAGGCCUUUCGGCCCACGAUGUUGUGCUAUACUGCAGGUAAAAGUUAGUGGAGAAAUUGGAUAGGAUGAAAAUAGAACAGUGGAGAAGUCACCUUACAUAUUCUUAAGUUCCUGAAGGUGGUGUGCUUGGAUAUUGUAGAAGCUUUUUGCCACAAUUUGCCAACUUUCCUUAAAUAGGAGAGAAUUUAAUAAACAAUUAUUAGAUGAGAAUUAUGCUGAAUAAUUAUAUUUCAGACUUUAGUGAAACAGUGGAGUUUGUUUGGUGCCUGGAUCAUUCAUGUUUUGAUAUGCAACACUAAGCGGCACUGAAGUAAACAGGGCAAAUUGCAAGUUAGCAGGUGACAUGAAAUUCCUAAGUGCAGUUAAACAAACUUCAGGAGGAAAUAGAAUGAUGAAAUGCACAGACACAGAAGGUGCACAGUACCUUAAGGGAAGAGGGAGUGAAGAGGCAGAGAGAUUUGGGGAGGGAAUGCCAGAGCUGCGAAUGAGUGAGUUAUAUUUAGGUGUAACAAAAUACAUGAACUCCAGCACCCGUCUUUGGUUAGGAGAACAAAGUGUGGGAGAAGGUAGUUAUUUAGUAGUACAGAACUUAUUGCUGUAAAAAGAGAUGCGUUUUGUUGAAGCUUUUCAUUUUGAAUUUGUACAAUGGUGAGUGUCUGAAAGGGAAUGCCUUAAGCAUAAUCUAUAAUGAUGAUGUAAUGUGAAUUGUGAGCAGAAAACCUUAGAAGAAUCAAUAUGGAGAAACACCUAACAUCCAGGUCCUCCUCAUAGUUUCCAUAUAAUGCCUAAUGUAAUUGUAAAUAGUUUCUAAUGUGCAAUAAACUGCUUCUUGUUCAAUACAAGAGGCCAGUGAGUGGUUUUCUUGUACCAUACUAGACCAAACAAAGUCUUUUGUGUCAUUUUACCUAAAGAGGUAGGGAUUAGAAUAUCCUUUAUUGUCAUGUGUACUCAAGUACAGAAGUGCAAGAGUAGUGACAAGUUUGCAAUGUCACCCCAUGUGGUGCCAUCUUAGGUACAAAAUACCUAGGUACAGAACUUAGAUACAAAGAAAUAAAAGAGGACAAUAAAGAAAAAAGUUACAUUAAUUACAGUUAUUCAUGGUAUAGUUAGAAAAAACUGAGAAAUAAAGUUAAGAAAAGCAUUAUAGUGCCCAAACAACAGGAAGCAAUUAAUUUAUGAGUUAUCUAUAGUCAUCAAGAUAGAACAGAACCUUAGAAUAGUACAGCACAGAAGACGCCUGUUUGCAGAAUGCCAGAGCUAGGAAUUAAAUGAAACAAUAAAAGAUUUCAAUCUCUAGACUGCAAUCAGAACCAUAGGUAAAUUGACGUAAUGAAAUUAGGAAAUAAAGGAAGACUUGCAUCGAGCUCCCUCCAUGAUCACCAGACAUCUUAGCGAUCUGCAGUCGAUGAAGAAUGUUUGAAAUAUAGUCACUAUUGCAAUGAAGGAAAUGCAGCAGCCAAAUGGCACUCAGGAAACCUCCACAGAUUGCAAUCUUGAUUGACCAAAUAAUCUGCUGUAUUACAUUGAGGGAUGUAUAUUGAUCAGGACACUGGAACCCUGCUGUUCUUUGAAAAUAGAGCCAUGGGACCUUUUGGGUCCACCUAAAAGGGUAGGCAGGGCCUUGAUUUAACAUCUUAUUUGAAAGACAGAACCUCUGGCAAUAUAGAACUCUGUCAGAAAAACAUGGAUGUGUCAGCCUUUAUUUUUGUAUUCAUGUCCUGGAAUGGCCCCAACACCUUAUCCACCAAACAAUGGAGAGCCGAGACAGAAAGGCAUUGGGUUCUGCUACACGAAGAUACUAACAGUAGCAUGCAGUGUAAAUGAUUGACAUUUGUUUCAAGCUAUUAAGCGUAUUUCUCUGAUUGGCCAGAACUACAGAAAGUUCCAGAAAACCAUCUAAAAAGGAAUCAAAAAAGAGAGUUCACCUGCACACCUCUCUCGGGGAACCGCUCCUGGAAUCUCUGGAAUCAUGAGGCCUUCCAAGGAGACUAGCACGGCAAAAGGCAGAGACCAGCUGACCAUCCAGGAGAAAGAGAGGAAGAAAGUAGCUUUGCAGACCCAGAGAUAGAGCCACAGAGAGAGUGACUACAUAAAUUUACAAGAGACUCAGGAAGUAUUGUAAUCUUAAGGGACCAAAUAGGAUUAGGGAUAGUAUGUUUAAUAUUAAAGAUUAUUGUAAUUUUUGUUCCUAAUAAAAUGGGACUGUUUUGCUUUGGUA